rnacentral:rRNA from 1 species
CACUCCUGCGGGAGGCAGCAGUGGGGAAUAUUGGACAAUGGGCGCAAGCCUGAUCCAGCCAUGCCGCGUGAGUGAUGAAGGCCCUAGGGUUGUAAAGCUCUUUCACCGGUGAAGAUAAUGACGGUAACCGGAGAAGAAGCCCCGGCUAACUUCGUGCCAGCAGCCGCGGUAAUACGAAGGGGGCUAGCGUUGUUCGGAUUUACUGGGCGUAAAGCGCACGUAGGCGGACUAUUAAGUCAGGGGUGAAAUCCCGGGGCUCAACCCCGGAACUGCCUUUGAUACUGGUAGUCUUGAGUUCGAGAGAGGUGAGUGGAAUUCCGAGUGUAGAGGUGAAAUUCGUAGAUAUUCGGAGGAACACCAGGGGCGAAGGCGGCUCACUGGCUCGAUACUGACGCUGAGGUGCGAAAGCGUGGGGAGCAAACAGGAUUAGAUACCCCAGUAGUCCC